rnacentral:rRNA from 1 species
CCUACGGGAGGCAGCAGUCGGGAAUAUUGCGCAAUGGAGGAAACUCUGACGCAGUGACGCCGCGUGCAGGAAGAAGGUUUUCGGAUUGUAAACUGCUUUAGACAGGGAAGCAAAAAGACAGUCCCUGUCGAAUAAGCUCCGGCUAACUACGUGACAACAGCCGCGGUAAUACGUAGGGAGCAAGCGUUAUCCGGAUUUAUUGGGUGUAACGGGUGCGUAGACGGAGAAGCAAGUUAGUUGUGAAAUCCCUCGGCUUAACUGAGGAACUGCAACUAAAACUACUUCCCUUGAGUACUGGAGAGGAAAGUGGAAUUCGUAGUGUAGCGGUGAAAUGCAUAGAUAUUAGGAGGAACACCAGUUGCGAAGGCGACGUUCUGGACAGUAACUGACGUUGAGGCACGAAAGUGUGGGGAGCAAACAGGAUUAGAUACCCCUGUAGUC